GAUCUACCAUGUGUCCUUUACCCUUUCUUUGACUUCGGCACAUGGGCUAUUCAGGCACCCAGGUGGAGGUGUUAGAAGCAUGAAGAAAAUGUCUACUUGAUGGGGUACCCUUCUAGCAGGGAGCAUCUGGGAAUUUGCCCACCAUCUGGUUUCAAAAACCUCCAACAAUGUUGAAUUAUGAACUCCUAUGUUCUGAAUGUGAUCCAGGAACUGAAGGCCCAAGAUAGCAAGGAUACUGAAGGAGGUCUCUGUUCCCAAUGUCAACACACAGAGGCUGCUACAGCUAUGUUCCAUGGGCACUAGCCUUUUUUUCUCAUCUAACAUCAAAACUUGGUAGCAUUGUUUAUGUAACACUGGAUUUGGAAGAAUAAAUGAUACAAUAUGGGGGGGGGCAUGGAAUAUUUUACCAUGGUUCCAGAGAGAUGCUGAGGCUAUGAAACGUGAGGCAGGGUUGAAGUUUCCUGGGUUGCCCCCCCACCCAGUUCAGUGUCAAAUGUCUUUGGAAUUUUGAUGAAUAUUGCAUUGAGUCUACAGAUUACUUUUAGUAAAACAGCCAUUUUCACAAUCUUAAUUCUGCCAAUCCAAGAGCAUGGACAGUGUUUCCAACUUCUAGUACCAUCUAUGGUUUCUUUUUUCAGUAUCGUGAAGUUUUAAUUGUAGAGGUAGUUCAUCAUUUACAUAAAUGCAUAGCUAGAAAGCACAUGAUCAUC